rnacentral:lncRNA from 1 species
UCCCUCUACAGCAUCUGUGGACCCAGCCUUAGGUUACUCCAGGAUGUCAGACACCGAAGAACAAGAAUAUGAGGAGGAACAGGCAGAAGAUGAGGAAGCAGUGGAGGAAGAAGCCCCCGAGGAGCCGGAGCCGGUGGCAGAGCGAGAAGAGCGCCCCAAACCCAGCCGUCCUGUGGUUCCUCCUUUGAUUCCUCCGAAGAUUCCAGAAGGGGAGCGUGUGGACUUUGAUGACAUUCACCGGAAGCGCAUGGAGAAAGACUUACUGGAGCUGCAGACGCUCAUCGAUGUGCACUUUGAGCAGCGGAAAAAGGAAGAGGAGGAACUCAUUGCGCUAAAAGACCGUAUUGAGAGGCGUCGCGCAGAGAGAGCUGAGCAACAGCGCUUCAGAACAGAAAAGGAGCGAGAACGCCAGGCCAAGCUGGCGGAGGAGAAGAUGCGGAAGGAGGAGGAGGAGGCAAAGAAGAGAGCAGAGGAUGACGCCAAAAAGAAGAAGGUUCUGUCCAACAUGGGGGCUCAUUUUGGGGGCUACCUGGUCAAGGCAGAACAGAAGCGUGGGAAGCGACAGACUGGUCGGGAGAUGAAACUCAGGAUCCUGUCUGAGAGGAAAAAGCCCUUGAACAUCGACUACAUGGGGGAGGACCAGCUCCGGGAGAAGGCCCAGGAGCUGUCAGAAUGGAUCCACCAGCUGGAAUCGGAGAAAUUUGACCUGAUGGAGAAAUUGAAGCAACAGAAAUAUGAG